rnacentral:rRNA from 1 species
GAUGAACGCUGGCGGCGUGCCUAAUACAUGCAAGUCGAGCGAACAGACGAGGAGCUUGCUCCUCUGACGUUAGCGGCGGACGGGUGAGUAACACGUGGAUAACCUACCUAUAAGACUGGGAUAACUUCGGGAAACCGGAGCUAAUACCGGAUAAUAUAUUGAACCGCAUGGUUCAAUAGUGAAAGACGGUUUUGCUGUCACUUAUAGAUGGAUCCGCGCCGCAUUAGCUAGUUGGUAAGGUAACGGCUUACCAAGGCAACGAUGCGUAGCCGACCGGAGAGGGUGGUCGGCCACACUGGGACUGAGACCCGGUCCAGACUCCUACGGGAGGCAGCAGUAGGGAAUCUUCCGCAAUGGGCGGAAGCUUGACGGAGCAGCGCCGCGUGAGUGAUGAAGGUCUUCGGGUCGUAAAACUCUGUUAUUAGGGAAGAACAAAUGUGUAAGUAACUAUGCACGUCUUGGCGGUACCUGAGCAGAAAGCCACGGCUAACUACGUGC